UACAGAGGGUGCAAGCGUUGUUCGGAAUUAUUGGGCGUAAAGGGCGCGUAGGCGGUGCGGUAAGUCUGUAGUGAAAUCUCUGGGCUCAACUCAGAGUCUGCUGCAGAAACUGCCGUGCUUGAGUGUGGGAGAGGUGAGUGGAAUUCCUGGUGUAGCGGUGAAAUGCGUAGAUAUCAGGAGGAACACCUGUGGCGAAAGCGGCUCACUGGACCACAACUGACGCUGAGGCGCGAAAGCUAGGUGAGCAAACAGG
rnacentral:rRNA from 1 species